ensembl:lncRNA
UAACAACAUAUUGGUCGCAAGCUACAAGAAACUCAAUUAUCUUGUGGAGUGCUGGAAACGUCAAUGAAAUCUUGCUCAGCAGCCAUGGUUGGUGUGUUUCUUCUUGCGUAUAUCUCCGUGAAUUUAUUCCUUAAAUGUCAAGGUCAAAAGAUUAAUCAAGCUAAGAUUUUCAGUGAAAAUGCUGAAGUACCAGAAGGUGGUAGACUGGAAGUUACUUGCAGCACAUUUGGUUUUACAGGAAAGGCAGUUUAUUUAUAUCUGUGUAAAAAUGGUAAAGCUAUUGAUAUGAAAAACAGACCCACUCAACAAGAUGUUGGCUUUAAAAUAGAGAAAAUAGAAAUGAACCAUGCAGGCAACUACAGCUGUGUGUUUUCAGAAGAGCAGUUGCAAAUAAACAAAGUGAUGGGAUAUGGUUAUAAUUACAUCUUCAUAAACGUGACUGAAUCUUUUAUUUACACACAGAUAUAUUUGCUUAAGUCUGAGGUGCCAGUGGGAAGUAAUGUUGAAUUCAACUGCAAAACAUUCAAUCCUUUACCCAAAAAACAGUCCAGGAACAUGAUCUUGGUUUAUCUAAUCAAAAAUGGAAAGCCUAUUAAAGUUAAUAUUUGGGACACAGAGAAGAUGAUGACAACAUUCACCCUCAGAGAAGUCCAGUUGGAAGAUGCUGGGACAUACAGUUGUGUUAUAUUGUUAAACAUACUCCCUUACCAUGGAAUGAGACUUCGUCAAAAUAUUAAAGCUUAUCUUCAGAUAAUUGCGACAUCUAACAGCAGCAUUGACAAAGUCAUAACUGUCAUAAUGAGAUCCAUAGUCAUAAUGUGUACCAUAGUUUUACUUCUCAGUCUGUUUCUGGGAAUCUGGGCACUGAUCCGAAAACAAGGUAGUAUUUUCUCUAGAUCUAAAAUCACUG